GCUCUUUAGAUCAAUGAGGAGAUUCCUGUAAAGCACCUGCCCAGCAGCGAGCCGGACCCCCACGUGGUCAGAAUCGGAUGGUCUCUCAACCACUGCAGCACUCAGCUCGGUGAGGAGCCCUUUUCCUUCGGAUACGGAGGAACAGGAAAGAAGUCUGCAGACUGUAAGUUUGAAGACUUUGGCGAGAAGUUUGGGGAAAACGACGUCAUCGGCUGUUACAUUGACUUUGACAGUGCUGAUGAGGUGGAGAUGAGCUAUUCCAAGAACGGAGUCUCCCUAGGAGUGGCUUUCCGGACAACCAAGGAGGCGCUGGAAGGUCGUGCCCUGUUUCCUCACGUCCUCGUGAAGAACUGUGCUGUGGAGUUCAACUUCGGACAGAAGGCAGAGCCGUACUUCCCCCCGCCGAGUGGAUACACCUACAUCCACGAGCUCAGCCUGGAGGACAAGAUCAGAGGCACCAAGGGGCCCGCCAGCAAGUCUGAGUGCGAGGUAUGGCACCUUUUUUUUAUCUUAC